AUUGCAACAUGACGCGAGUUGGCGUUAUCGAUAUUUCAUCUUCACACUUGGCAGAAAUGGAUCUCAGAAUUGAAAUCUUUGUACUCAAAUUAGUCAAUGCUGAAAAAUUCAUGAUGUUUGGACAGUCAGGGCGCGAGUUACGGCGUUUUUAGCUGCUCAACAAAUUCCAUGCUGUGAUAUGCAUGGCAAAAUCUAAAUAUAUAAACAACAGGGUUGGUGCAGGUCCAUGAAGUCCUUGACUAUAGAAUUACUUUAUGGUUUCCGUGUUUGGAUGGCCUGAUCCAAACACGCGGGAAUGUUGCGAGAGUUAAGAAAAGCGAGCGAAAUCACGAGCCGAAGGCGAGUGAUUUUGCCCGCUUUUACGAGCCGAAGGCGAGUGAUUUUGCCCGCUUUUCUUAACUCGAGCAACAUUCCCAAGUGUUUGGAUCAGUCCAUCCAAACACGGAAACCAUAAAGUAAUUGUUUUAUAAAAUAACAACAACACGGUAGUCUUCCGUGUUUGGAUGGCCUGAUCCAAACACGGCUUUCGACCAAUCAGAAUACGCGUUAUAUACAUGUUAUUUUAUAAAAGUGCUUAAAUUGAAAAAUCAAUUUCAAGAGCACUUGAAAAGCCCUUGAAAAUACAAAAUCUGUUACAGUCAAUUUCACAAAACGUUUGCCAAAAUGUUCCAAAUUUCGUUCUGAAGUUUGCAAUAAAGUUCGUUUCGAAGUUCACGACUUCAGUAUUGAAAUUCACAAAGCGGUUUGUAAACAAAACCUCUGAUUGGUCCAUGAAUUGAAAGUAGCCAAUCAAAUGCCUUGUUUACAAUCCAGUUUGUGAAC